GCAAGUCGAACGAAGUAGCAAUACUUAGUGGCAGACGGGUGAGUAAUAUGUAGGUAUCUACCCUUUGGUGAGGAAUAACACGAGGAAACUUGUGCUAAUACCUCAUAAGUCUUUACGGAGAAAGCUUUAUGCGCCGAAGGAUGAGCCUGCACUUGAUUAGUUUGUUGGUGGGGUAAUGGCCUACCAAGACUUUGAUCUAUAGCUGAUCUGAGAGGAUGAUCAGCCACAUUGGGACUGAGACACGGCCCAAACUCCUACGGGAGGCAGCAGUAGGGAAUAUUGCACAAUGGAGGAAACUCUGAUGCAGCGAUGCCGCGUGAGUGAAGUAGGCCUUUGGGUUGUAAAGCUCUUUCGUCGGGGAAGAAAAUGACUGUACCCGAAUAAGAAGGUCCGGCUAACUUCGUGCCAGCAGCCGCGGUAAUACGAAGGGACCUAGCGUAGUUCGGAAUUACUGGGCUUAAAGAGUUCGUAGGUGGUUAAAAAAGUUGGUGGUGAAAUCCCAGAGCUUAACUCUGGAACUGCCAUCAAAACUUUUUAGCUAGAGUAUGAUAGAGGAAAGCAGAAUUUCUAGUGUAGAGGUGAAAUUCGUAGAUAUUAGAAAGAAUACCAAUUGCGAAGGCAGCUUUCUGGAUCAUUACUGACGCUGAGGAACGAAAGCAUGGGUAGCGAAGAGGAUUAGGUACCCUCGUAGUCCAUGCCGUAAACGAUGUGUGUUAGACGUUGGAAAUUUAUUUUCAGUGUCGCAGCGAAAGCGUUAAACACACCGCCUGGGGAGUACGACCGCAAGGUUAAAACUCAAAUGAAUUGACGGGGACCCGCACAAGUAGUGGAGCAUGUGGUUUAAUUCGAAGAUACGCGCAGAACCUUACCAACACUUGACAUGUUCGUCGCGACUCUAA
rnacentral:rRNA from 1 species